rnacentral:misc_RNA from 1 species
GGUACGACUCAUAUCCCACG